CCUACGGGAGGCAGCAGUGAGGAAUAUUGGUCAAUGGACGCAAGUCUGAACCAGCCAUGCCGCGUGCAGGAAGAAGGUGCUAUGCAUUGUAAACUGCUUUUAUACGGGGGUAAUUACAGAUACGUGUAUCUGGAUGAAAGUACCGUAUGAAUAAGGAUCGGCUAACUCCGUGCCAGCAGCCGCGGUAAUACGGAGGAUCCGAGCGUUAUCCGGAUUUAUUGGGUUUAAAGGGUGCGUAGGCGGUCAGGUAAGUUAGAGGUGAAAGCUCGAUGCUCAACAUCGAAACUGCCUCUGAUACUGUCUGACUAGAGUGUAGUUGCGGAAGGCGGAAUGUGUGGUGUAGCGGUGAAAUGCUUAGAUAUCACACAGAACACCGAUUGCGAAGGCAGCUUUCCAAGCUAUUACUGACGCUGAGGCACGAAAGCGUGGGGAGCGAA
rnacentral:rRNA from 1 species